rnacentral:rRNA from 1 species
UGGUAGUNCACGCCGUAAACGAUGAGUGCUAGGUGUUAGACCCUUUCCGGGGUUUAGUGCCGCAGCUAACGCAUUAAGCACUCCGCCUGGGGAGUACGACCGCAAGGUUGAAACUCAAAGGAAUUGACGGGGGCCCGCACAAGCGGUGGAGCAUGUGGUUUAAUUCGAAGCAACGCGAAGAACCUUACCAGGUCUUGUCAUCCCUCUGACCGCUCUAGAGAUAGAGUUUUCCUUCGGGACAGAGGUGACAGGUGGCGCAUGGUUGUCGUCAGCUCGUGUCGUGAGAUGUUGGGUUAAGUCCCGCAGCGAGCGCAACCCCUAUUGUUAGUUGCCAUCAUUUAGUUGGGCACUCUAGCGAGACUGCCGGUAAUAAACCGGAGGAAGGUGGGGAUGACGUCAAAUCAUCAUGCCCCUUAUGACCUGGGCUACACACGUGCUACAAUGGCUGGUACAACGAGUCGCAAGCCGGUGACGGCAAGCUAAUCUCUUAAAGCCAGUCUCAGUUCGGAUUGUAGGCUGCAACUCGCCUACAUGAAGUCGGAAUCGCUAGUAAUCGCGGAUCAGCACGCCGCGGUGAAUACGUUCCCGGGCCUUGUACACACCGCCCGUCACACCACGAGAGUUUGUAACACCCGAAGUCGGUGAGGUAACCAUUNGGAGCCA